ensembl:snRNA U6 U6 spliceosomal RNA
GUGCUUGCUUUCGCAGCACAUAUGCUAACAUAGGAGCGAUACAGAGAUUAGCCUGGACCCUGUGUUAGGAUGACACAUGUAUAAGGUGUUCCUUAUUUUU